CUUUGGGCAGACAGAGCAUCAAUAGUGUUUUUGCAAGAAACCCACUUUUGGGAGGGGGCCACGCCAGUACUGAGGCAGCAAAGGUUCCCACUGGGAUUUUUUGCUAACCACCAGACAGCCAAACGUGAGGGAGUGGCGAUACUAUUUGCGAGGGCGAUCCCGUUUCAAUGCACGGCAAAGGUGGCGGACCCAAUGGGGCGAUAUAUCUUCCUGAAAG